AGUAACGGCGAGUGAAGCGGCAACAGCUCAAAUUUGAAAUCUGGCCCCUCGGGCCCGAGUUGUAAUUUGUAGAGGAUGCUUUUGGUGCGGUGCCGCCUGAGUUCCCUGGAACGGGACGCCAUAGAGGGUGAGAGCCCCGUCUGGCUGGCCACCAAGCCUCUGUAAAGCUCCUUCGACGAGUCGAGUAGUUUGGGAAUGCUGCUCUAAAUGGGAGGUAUAUGUCUUCUAAAGCUAAAUAUUGGCCAGAGACCGAUAGCGCACAAGUAGAGUGAUCGAAAGAUGAAAAGCACUUUGAAAAGAGGGUUAAAUAGUACGUGAAAUUGUUGAAAGGGAAGCGCUCAUGACCAGACUUGGGCUUGGCGAAUCAUCCAGCGUUCUCGCUGGUGCACUUUGCCUCGUCCAGGCCAGCAUCAGUUCGUCGCGGGGGAAAAAGGCUUCGGGAACGUGGCUCCUCCGGGAGUGUUAUAGCCCGUUGCAUAAUACCCUGCGGUGGACUGAGGUUCGCGCAUCUGCAAGGAUGCUGGCGUAAUGGUCAUCAGCGACCCGUCUUGAAACACGGACCAAGGAGUCGUCUUCGUAUGCGAGUGUUCGGGUGUCAAACCCCUACGCGUAAUGAAAGUGAACGCAGGUGAGAGCUUCGGCGCAUCAUCGACCGAUCCUGAUGUUCU
rnacentral:rRNA from 1 species